rnacentral:rRNA from 1 species
CCUACGGGAGGCAGCAGUGGGGAAUAUUGGGCAAUGGGCGCAAGCCUGACCCAGCAACGCCGCGUGAAGGAAGAAGGCUUUCGGGUUGUAAACUUCUUUUAUCAAGGACGAAACAAAUGACGGUACCUGAGGAAUAAGCCACGGCUAACUACGUGCCAGCAGCCGCGGUAAUACGUAGGUGGCAAGCGUUAUCCGGAUUUACUGGGUGUAAAGGGCGUGUAGGCGGGACUGCAAGUCAGAUGUGAAAACCAUGGGCUCAACCCAUGGCCUGCAUUUGAAACUGUAGUUCUUGAGUGCUGGAGAGGCAGUCGGAAUUCCGUGUGUAGCGGUGAAAUGCGUAGAUAUAAGGAAGAACACCAGUGGCGAAGGCGGACUGCUGGACAGUAACUGACGCUGAGGCGCGAAAGCGUGGGGAGCAAACAGGAUUAGAUACCCUAGUAGUC